UACAGAGGUCUCAAGCGUUGUUCGGAUUUAUUGGGUUUAAAGGGUGCGUAGGCGGGUUAUUAAGUCAGUGGUGAAAGCCUGCAGCUUAACUGCAGAAUUGCCAUUGAUACUGAUGAUCUUGAGUAUGAUUGAGGUGGGCGGAAUGUGUCAUGUAGCGGUGAAAUGCUUAGAUAUGACACAGAACACCGAUUGCGAAGGCAGCUCACUAAGUCAUAACUGACGCUGAUGCACGAAAGCGUGGGGAGCAAACAGG
rnacentral:rRNA from 1 species